rnacentral:tRNA from 1 species
GCCCCCGUAGCUCAGGGGAUAGAGCAACUGCCUUCUAAGCAGUGGGCCGCAGGUUCGAAUCCUGCCGGGGGCGCCA